AUUGAACGCUGGCGGAAUGCUUUACACAUGCAAGUCGAACGGCAGCACGGGAGCUUGCUCCUGGUGGCGAGUGGCGAACGGGUGAGUAACACAUCGGAACAUGCCUAGUCGUGGGGGAUACCGUAGCGAAAGUUACGUUAAUACCGCAUACGUCCUGAGGGAGAAAGCAGGGGAUUCGCAAGAACCUUGCGCGAUUAGAGUGGCCGAUGCCUGAUUAGCUUGUUGGUGGGGUAAAGGCCUACCAAGGCGACGAUCAGUAGCGGGUCUGAGAGGAUGAUCCGCCACACUGGAACUGAGACACGGUCCAGACUCCUACGGGAGGCAGCAGUGGGGAAUUUUGGACAAUGGGGGCAACCCUGAUCCAGCCAUUCCGCGUGAGUGAAGAAGGCCUUCGGGUUGUAAAGCUCUUUCAGCGGGAACGAAACGGUACGCUCUAACAUAGCGUGCUAAUGACGGUACCCGCAGAAGAAGCACCGGCUAACUACGUGCCAGCAGCCGCGGUAAUACGUAGGGUGCGAGCGUUAAUCGGAAUUACUGGGCGUAAAGCGUGCGCAGGCGGAUUGUUAAGCAAGAUGUGAAAUCCCCGGGCUUAACCUGGGAAUGGCAUUUUGAACUGGAAGGCUAGAGUGUGUCAGAGGGGGGUAGAAUUCCACGUGUAGCAGUGAAAUGCGUAGAGAUGUGGAGGAAUACCGAUGGCGAAGGCAGCCCCCUGGGAUAACACUGACGCUCAUGUACGAAAGCGUGGGUAGCAAACAGGAUUAGAUACCCUGGUAGUCCACGCCCUAAACGAUGUCAACUGGUUGUUGGGAGAGUGAAAUCUCUUAGUAACGAAGCUAACGCGUGAAGUUGACCGCCUGGGGAGUACGGUCGCAAGAUUA
rnacentral:rRNA from 1 species